AAUUAUUAUGGCUGUAUUUUAUGGUUAUUGUCAUCUUAAAAUUUAUUUAUACCUAUUUCUUGUCAUUAAUGAACAGAUUUCUUUCCCCCAUAUUUAAUCAGAACUUUAAUAUUUUAUAUUUGAAGGUUAAACCCCAAGGUGAAAUUUACAUUGAUCGGAAGAUCCAUUGGACAGAAUGUGCAUCAUCGCCUGCCAAAAAAGGGAGCAAAAAGGGGACUACCUGAUGUAUGGACAUGUAUACCAGGCCAACUUGAGGGGAACAGGAGUGGAAAACCGUGCCCUGUAGCUUGUCCUUGACCAAGAAAAGAUGGAUUUGUUGAGAGGACCUGAUCUCAAAUGAGAUCAUGCACGAGAAGCGCCUCGCAGACCAUGACAGUAGUAUUCAGACCUGAUCAGCUGGUGAAGUGCUCUAUAAAGGGUUGUUUAUGAAUGCAUUCUUUGUAAGGAACAGUGUAUAACAACAAAUAUAGUGACAGGGGCUAAGCUGCUAAAUAUUGUCAGCAUGUAUGCAGUGAU